CCUACGGGACGGAGCAGUGGGGAAUAUUGGACAAUGGGGGCAACCCUGAUCCAGCGAUGCCGCGUGUGUGAAGAAGGCCUUCGGGUUGUAAAGCACUUUCGCGGGGGAAGAAACUUCGCGCUCUAACAUAGCGCGGCACUGACGGUACCCCGAGAAGAAGCGCCGGCUAACUCCGUGCCAGCAGCCGCGGUAAUACGGAGGGCGCAAGCGUUAAUCGGAAUGACUGGGCGUAAAGCGUGCGCAGGCGGCCGCGGAAGUCGGAUGUGAAAGCCCCGGGCUCAACCCGGGAACUGCGUUCGAAACUCCGCGGCUCGAGUCCGGCAGAGGAAGGUGGAAUUCCGCGUGUAGCGGUGAAAUGCGUAGAGAUGCGGAAGAACACUAAUGGCGAAGGCAUCCUUCUGGGCUGGCACUGACGCUGAGGCACGAAAGCGUGUGUAGCAAACAGGAUUAGAUACCCUGGUAGUCCACGCCCUAAACGAUGUCCGCUGGCUGUCGGGGGCAACCUCGGUGGCGAAGCUAACGCGUUAAGCGGACCGCCUGGGGAGUACGGUCGCAGGAUUAAAACUCAAAUGAAUUGACGG
rnacentral:rRNA from 1 species